GACGAACGCUGGCGGCGUGCUUAACACAUGCAAGUCGAACGGAAAGGCCCUGCUUGUGUGGGGUGCUCGAGUGGCGAACGGGUGAGUAACACGUGAGUAACCUGCCCUUGACUUUGGGAUAACUUCAGGAAAGUGGGGCUAAUACCGGAUAGGAGCUCCUGCUGCAUGGUGGGGGUUGGAAAGUUUCGGCGGUUUGGGAUGGACGCGCGGCUUAUCAGCUUGUUGGUGGGGUAGUGGCUGACCAAGGCUUUGACGGGUAGCCGGCCUGGGAGGGUGACCGGCCACAUUGGGACUGAGAUACGGCCCAGACUCCUACGGGAGGCAGCAGUGGGGAAUAUUGCACAAUGGGCGGAAGCCUGAUGCAGCAACGCCGCGUGCGGGAUGACGGCCUUCUGGUUGUAAACCGCUUUCGCCUGUGACGAAGCGUGAGUGACGGUAAUGGGUAAAGAAGCACCGGCUAACUACGUG
rnacentral:rRNA from 1 species